rnacentral:rRNA from 1 species
AAAGAAACCAACAGGGAUUGCCCUAGUAACGGCGAGUGAAGCGGCAACAGCUCAAAUUUGAAAUCUGGCCCUCGGGUCCGAGUUGUAAUUUGUAGAGGAUGCUUUUGGUGAGGUACCUUCCGAGUUCCCUGGAACGGGACGCCAUAGAGGGUGAGAGCCCCGUCUGGUUGGAUACCAAACCUCUGUAAAGCUCCUUCGACGAGUCGAGUAGUUUGGGAAUGCUGCUCUAAAUGGGAGGUAUAUGUCUUCUAAAGCUAAAUACCGGCCAGAGACCGAUAGCGCACAAGUAGAGUGAUCGAAAGAUGAAAAGCACUUUGAAAAGAGAGUUAAAAAGUACGUGAAAUUGUUGAAAGGGAAGCGCUUAUGACCAGACUUGGACUUGGUUGAUCAUCCUGGGUUCUCCCUGGUGCACUCUUCCAGUUCAGGCCAGCAUCAGUUCGCUGCGGGGGAUAAAAGUUUUGGGAAUGUGGCUCCCUCGGGAGUGUUAUAGCCCAUUUCAUAAUACCCUGCUCCGGACUGAGGUUCGCGCAUCUGCAAGGAUGCUGGCGUAAUGGUCAUCAGCGACCCGUCUUGAAACACGGACCAAGGAGUCGUCUUCGUAUGCGAGUGUUCGGGUGUUAAACCCCUACGCGUAAUGAAAGUGAACGCAGGUGAGAGCUUCGGCGCAUCAUCGACCGAUCCUGAUGUUCUCGGAUGGAUUUGAGUAAGAGCAUACGGGGCCGGACCCGAAAGAUGGUGAACUAUGCCUGUAUAGGGUGAAGCCAGAGGAAACUCUGGUGGAGGCUCGCAGCGGUUCUGACGUGCAAAUCGAUCGUCAAAUAUGGGCAUGGGGCGAAAGACUAAUCGUAUCUUCUAGUAGCUGGUUUCCGCCGAAGUUUCCCUCAGGA